CCUGAGGGGGCGCAGGCUAUAGAAACCCUGCAUUGUCUGCUAUAAUUUAAUCAUCGUGGGCUGCAGAAUUUCUUUGCAUAAAUUACAACCACAAUGAUAGCAUCACUUUCACAAAAGGUGGCCUCCAAUCGAUUCAACCCUCCGAGAGAUGGCCGGGCUUUCGCCGCAGGGAAAGGAUUCACUGCCGUCUACAGGGCUGGAGAUCAUCGCUGGGGCUCUGGUGGUAGUCGGGGCGCACCUGGGGCAGAUUGCUGAUUCAGCUGAUGUGCCUUUUCCUCUCGGUGUGCGCUAACCACUUGGUUUUUAUUUUUCUAGGAAUAAGGGGGGAUUGGGAAUGGGCCCCGCCCCCACGUCUGGAGGAGGCAUGUGCCUCGGGUGAACCCCCGAAGGACAACAAGGUAGAGGAAAUGUUUUCCUGACGAUGCCUUCACUGGCCUAUUUUGCCGCUUCCUCUCCUUUCCCCCACCCCUCGGGCAAAGGUGAUUUUUAUAUUUCCUACGUUUUUAACGCUCUCGGGUCUUCUCGUACCUGGAAAAGCACAGAAUCUAUGCUGCUCCUGCCUCCCUUUCCCCAGCCCGAGCCCCCGAGAAGACAGGACCCCGGGAGCACGUUUUGUAAGCCUCUCUAUUGAAGCGAGGCCUUUAGGCAGCCGUGCGUGGCUGCAUUGUGGUGGUCCCCAAGUGCUCCGGACAAUCCCUUUGAAAGAAUAGGGUCGAGAAGAUUCUCAGGACAGAGGCAGCUAAUUUCCAUCCUUGAGGCUUUAUCUCACAAAGGAAACUCGAUGUAAAGAGAAGAAAUUAAGUCUGUGGAAAAUUUGCUCCCCUUUCCAAUGGCCUCAGGAUGAAAUGGAAUCUUCUCGCAUGUCCUCGAGAGAGGGAUGCUUUUCGUGCAAAAAUCUUCAAACCAACACGACCAACACACAUCACACCUAUGUGUGCGGAGGGAGGAAUGCAGAGGGAAAAACUCCAUGGCUACCAGCAUCCAGUUGGCGUUUAAUAAAGGUUAAGGGAAUAAGUGAAAACUACUCACCAUUGUCACUGCUGCUCCGAAAAGUAGUGAUGAUUAAUUGAGGCAAAUUUACAAUCCCUUUCAUAAUCGCAGCAGUAUGAAAGCCUUAUCUUCUCUUGCAUCACCAUGGGAACCUUUGAUGUUUAUUCCUGGGGGCAAAACCGCCGACCGGCCCUCCUGUGUGUAUGUGCACAUGUGAAAUGCAGCCCGGGGUCUAAAAGGGCUCUAAUUGCAUUGUGUGUAUUCAGGGGUGGUCAUGAGUCAAGGCACUUCCUGGGAAUGAUAGAGGAAAUCUCAGAUAAUGCAGCCUUGCGUAAUAAAAGUUUUCCUCUGGCUCUGUUUAUAUGUGUAAAUGGGAGGGGCUGAGUGGAAGAGAAGAGUGACAAUAAAGACAGUUAAGAAAGACAAGAAGUAUGUACAUAGCAGAUGAUUCCCCCCCACCCCCCUUCAAAUCGGAUUAUCUGGUUGCCUGCCCUCUAACUGGGCUGCGACGUCAGAUCCUGGAAGGCCGCACCGAGAGCCAGAUAAAGUCCCUGGUGCAAGGGUGUGUGUGCGAGUGUGUGUGAGUGUGUGUGUGUCUGUGCCCAGUUAACUCCAGGAGCCCUGCCCCGCGGCUGUGAACAAUUACCCAGGAAGUAGCCCCUCUGACCAUUUGAAUAGAAAACCUUCCCGAGGAGAACCCAGCCUCAGGGCCCCUGUCGGGGCAGAAAGAAAGGCUUGACCACUCUCAGAAGGUGGCUUGGUUUAAUGACCUCCGCUGCCGUUAGUACAUUUCCACGUUUUAUACCCUCCCCGCCUUCAUUCCUUAGCUUAAGAGAGGAAAACCUAUUGAAAUGAUUCGGUGGGGUUUCUCCUUUGUUGAAAAUAAAUCUCAUCACUCCCUGAGGUCUGGGACGUCAGGGAAGUGGUGAGGGUGGGCUUUGGAGCCAGGUAGGCCUGGGUGCUCAUCCCGAUUCCCCUGACUGCUGGCGCUUGGUUUUUUUGUCCCUCUCUGUUACGUCAGCCUUUCCGGGGAGCAUUUCUUUAUCUGCAGAACAGGGGCGAUGACGCCCAGUGAUGCCCGCCUUGCUGGGUCGUACUGUUUACGUAGGAGAAACAGGUGGCACACAAUAGAAGCUUAAUAAAGGACCAGCAAUUAUUACUGACCUUGUGUGUGCAUAUCAAUGUAUGUAAUGUCCUUCAUCUUGACUGAAAGCAAGUACGUUCUUCUGGAUUAAAGAGGAAAAAGGUCAUAAAAUGCCAGAGACCUACUUCCUUGGAACAUCUGCAAAGCUUGAAAUAAGGAGAUAAGAUAGCAGGGUCGAAGCUCUGCCACUAAUUAGGUACGGAAGCUUAACGAGCUCUGUCACCGCCCUGGCUUUCCGUUGUAAACAGAGCUGUGUUCUAGAUCAUGCUAAACAGCUAGAGCAAGUGGAAGCAACGUGUGACAGAGGCCUCUGGGCUGGCUGUGUGCCCACCUCUCUGCCCACGGGUUCCUGCAGACCUGCCCCUCACUCCUCUCUGGAGGCAACGGCCCUUCUUUUCAACUUUCCCUUGUCUCCAGGCCAUCGAAGGCAGGGCUCUUCCAGGUCCUCGGUCCUCGGGAGCAGACAGCCAAGCCUUGGGGCGGUGGCCGGCCUGGCUCCAGCAUGCCUCCCCCUGCAGUCGGCACGCCCCGUCCCUUGACCUGGAGCCCCGGGUCUCUACCUUCCAGGUCAGGAGUCCACACCUCCCAGAAAUGGCCGCACCCUCCCCCGGUUGAGGCCCUGGGAAUCAGCAUUCCUCUGCUGACACUGUGGUUUGGCCCCCGACUCACUCCCCUCCUGGAUCCUCGAGUCCUCCACCCGUAACAGGAGACAGCAGACCCCAGGUUCCUUCCAAAACAUUUCGAAUCAGAGCCAGUAAGGACGCCCAGCCCGGCAGCCGAGAGGCAGGAAGCUGGUGACUCCGGGUAGCAGGCCUUGGUGGCAGAGGAACCGUCUCCUCCAUCCGUAGGGACCCAGAAGUCAGAUCCCACAAGGAACAAAAGGGAGCCCGGGCAGCGUGAGCCAGGGAGGAAAAGCAGUCAGCGUAGAUGGCAGGACUGAAGGUGACCGGCAGGCUGGGUCCCAGUGAUAAUUAGAGGCGGCCCAGCGGGCUGCAGCUGAGGCCCCGUC
rnacentral:lncRNA from 1 species